rnacentral:rRNA from 1 species
AGUGAACGCUGGCGGUAGGCCUAACACAUGCAAGUCGAACGGCAGCACAGGAGAGCCUGCUCUCUAGGUGGCGAGUGGCGGACGGGUGAGGAAUACAUCGGAAUCUGCCCAGUCGUGGGGGAUAACGUAGGGAAACUUACGCUAAUACCGCAUACGACCUUCGGGUGAAAGAGGGGGAUCGCAAGACCUCUCGCGAUUGGAUGAGCCGAUGUCGGAUUAGCUAGUUAGCGGGGUAAUGGCCCACCAAGGCGACGAUCCGUAGCUGGUCUGAGAGGAUGAUCAGCCACACUGGAACUGAGACACGGUCCAGACUCCUACGGGAGGCAGCAGUGGGGAAUAUUGGACAAUGGGCGCAAGCCUGAUCCAGCCAUACCGCGUGGGUGAAGAAGGCCUUCGGGUUGUAAAGCCCUUUUGUUGGGAAAGAAAUCUUUCAGGCUAAUACCCUGGGAGGAUGACGGUACCCAAAGAAUAAGCACCGGCUAACUUCGUG